UCUUCCGGAGAUAUAGCAAGUUAGAGAAGGAAAGCGAAUCUAUUGUUACUGUAAGCUGUAACUGAUUUUGAUUGACAUAUCGUAAGUAGUCAGCCACGCUUGUGACGACUGGAGUAAGCUCCUAAGUAUUUUGAAUAUUUUGCGAAAAUCGUGGUUUAUUUUUAGUUAAUAGGAUUGUAUUCAACAAUGGUUAAUUGUUCAGUAGUUACAUGUGGUGUUAAUCAUAAAAAUAAUCCUGAAAAUUGCACAUUUCACAGAUUCCCUUUAGAUCCUGUUGUUAGAGAAAAAUGGUUAAUAUUAAUUGGGCGAGUUGAUUGGACUCCAAGGAAGAGUUCUACUAUUUGCAGCAAACAUUUUCCUGAUCUAUAUAAAAGAAAAAUUCGAAUGAAUACAAUUUUAGUUAAAGGUGCCCUUCCAACUUUAUUUGUACCUGGACACAUAAAAGAAGAAGUCCCAAUAUUGUGUGUUAAUAAUAUACCUUCGACAUCUCAAUGGCCAGAAAUUAGUGUUCCACUUUCACCUAGUAUAAAAAAACUCAUGUCCAAAAACUUCAAAUUAAAACAAAGGCUGCGAGAAAAGCAAAGGAAAAUACGAACCUUAGUAGCAAGAACUAAAAGACAGUCUUUCAAAAUAGCUGUAUUACAAAACAUGCUAAAAGGAAUUCACCCACAACCGGGCUUAAUAGAACAGUACACUGAUCUCACUGUGGCAUGGGGUAGUGAAUUAACACAGUAUUUAAUAAACAGAGUUAAUGAUAAAAAAUGUGAUAAUUUACAGUCUUCAACGAAAGACAGUGAAGAAUAAUGAAAGUUUUCUAUUAAACAUUUCAAGAGCAUUUAAUUCCUAUAAGAGUGAAAAUUUAAUUUGUGUCUUCCACAUGAGACACACACUUCUAACACAUUGAGUACCUGUUACUCUAGACUAGACCGUGAAUUUGGAUUUAUGCAAGAACCCAUUAACACAAAGUAAUGAAAUACAUAAGGGAACACAUAGUUAUGAAGCAAAUUUAUAAAUUUCAUUUUAUUAUUUAAGUUUGUGUAAAUAGAUUUUAAAUUAAUAAAUAGGUAUAAGUAGUACUUGUGUGACUAUGGUGAGAUUCCAAAUUGCCGAUUCCAUGCAAUAUCAUAAUUUAAACUCCAGCAUUCCCACUGCUGUGACUGAAAUUACAGGUAUUUUCAGAGGAGCUUUUUAGAAUUUUUCUCGGUAAUUGCUAGCAUAACAAACAGGAAGGAUAAUGCCAAGAUUCAACAUAGAUAGGUACCUAUAUAAACCCACAGCGACAAUUGUAUAUGGUGUAUAUGUCCCAGCAUGUAAUAAAACUUUAGGAAUAGUAACUAUAAACUAUUUCAUUGACGAAUAUACUCAGUAUAGAGGGUCAAUUCCAAAACCCUACCAAUUUGCAGCUACUUUUAUUUUUAUCGUAGCAAAAUUAACCUUAAUUUGUAAAAAACUGGCAGUUUAAAUUCUAAGUUUUUGUGAUUGCAGAAGGAAUUAAUGUACGCGUUGGAAAAAAAAAAAGAAUAAAUAGGUAGCUAUUGUGAAUGGUAAUUUCAUUAAAAUAAUAAUCACUUUAAAUUAGAUUGUUUCAGCGUCUUAGGGACGCUUAAAAAUUUAAAUUUGGAUUGCAAUGAUCGAUAGUCGAUACAUGCCAUCGGUCGAUGGUAGAAUGGAUUAGUCUACGUCGAUCGAUAGUUUCUACCAGACCAAUCGAUCGAUUGUCGAUCGACGAUCGAUCGAUGGUAGAAUGGAUAAGUCGACGUCGAUCGUGCUGCUUGAGCUUCCCAAGUCACCCGGUGCCCCCCGCGCCCCGCACGCUUACUACGUGGCCUACUUGUGUUUAUGUCUUCAGUUGUGUGAAGCUCGCGGUCGUUAAUGCUGGUUUGUUCUCGUGGCGUGCAAAAUGGCGGUAACCGCGUGGACGAAUGAAAGACCUUUAGAAUUUAUAGAGCAAUACAAAAACAAACCUUUACUUUGGGACAUUGUCCACACUGAUUAUCAAAAUAGAAUAAAACGUCAUGAUGAACUUCUCGAAAUAGCCAACUCAUUUGAAAUUACUAAGGAGGAAGCGGAAAAAAGAUAAUAAAUUUACAAUCAACAUUUUCGAAAGAAAAAAAAAAGUUAAAGAUAGUUUGAGAAGCGGUGCGGGACGAGACGAAUUAUACGUUUCUAAAUGGUAUGCAUUUCAAGCUAUGAUGUUCAUACAAGAAAGGAAUCGCCCAUGAUCUACCGCGUCUACAGAGGAUCAGCCUCAUUCCAGCAUGUCAAGUAAUUUUCAGGUAAAUUCAUUAACAUCUGAGUCGGGGAUGGACAGUUCCAUUGAUAGUGAAGAUCCUCGUAAAAGGCGCUUCAAACCAAAUGAUGCCGCUAUAGAAAAAACGUUGGACAUGGUUGAUUCUUUGAUUCGCAAUAGAAAAGAUGUUGAUGAGUAUGCAUUAUUUGGAGAACAAAUAGCAUUUAAAUUGAGGUCACUAAACACAGACUACGCACCUAUUACCGUGCAGCAUCAUAUAAAUAACCUAAUUUACGAAGCUAACUUGGUAAAUAUUACUAUCCAGAAACUCAAAAUGAAGGCUACUCCACUACACUAUAUUCUACAGGUGCUACUAUCUUCAAAUCAAUCUGACUUGCAUGAAAAUUAAACAAUGUUUUUAUAUGGUUACUGUUUUUCUGAAAGAUUUUUAAUAAACCUGAAACACUA